UUUUGAACUAAUAAUUUUCGA
rnacentral:piRNA from 1 species